CUGCCCGGUGCCUGUUACCAAUUGCCAUCACCCAUAUCUUUUCUCCUAUUCGUCCGCACAAAAGAUGCAGGACAACCAAGGAAACGCAACGAUGAGCUGGGAUUGUGUCUAUAUUCUUUCUGCUGACUUGAGCUCCGAGUUCCCGGUAGCCUCGGCCUACUUUCCGGCGCAAAGUGCCUCCUUUGCUUAUUCCGCCAGUCUUCAACGCGAUCUGGAUGACGAGCGAGCUCCUUUUUCUGAGCUCCUCUUCUAUUAUACUUACUACUCCGAGGAGCACAAUUACUGCGUAAUAGGAAGUAACUUGUAGCGGCUACAAAGCUAACUAUUAUAGGGAGAGAGCAGCAGCACUUCUUUGCUAUUUUCCCAAGCUGGAUUCCAGACUGCUAGGGGUAGGACGCAGUAGGAUGACCAAUAAUCGAUUAGAAUUUUAUAUAUACGUAGUAACCCUUUAAGCAUCAAGGAUCAACAACUGAAGAACUCUGACGAGUGCGCUUCAUGCUUGAAUCGGGCCUCGUUUUGAUAGUAAUAGUAGCAGCCAGGAUAGACAGAUCACACAACGAUAUUUGCAGACUGUUCGCUAUUUGUAUGCCCAACGACCUCCUCGUUCAAUACCAAACUAUCCGCCAGUCAGACAGGAGAAAAAAAAAAUGGGGAAAGAGUACUAAGGAAUUACGAAACACCCCAUAUGAUAGACAAGAAUGACAAGUACAUCUCAUGUACGAGUAGCGAACAUACGACAUACGUGUUGAUAGAGAAACUGAAAAAGAGAUAGAAGAAAAAACUCCUUAAAGGCAAUUGGGAAGCGCCUAAAGUUUCCCAGGGGAAGAGAUAAAGGUACGAGCAAAAAAGGCAAGUCAUUAUUGAGGAAUAUGUAGCAGAGAAAAAGGAUUGCAAGGGUUUAUAAAAAAAGAUUCAAACUUUGGCAAUAGAUAUAACUACAUUUGUACUUGGAGAAUCAUUUGGGAAUUUGCCAUGCGGCAUGGAGUUCCUCUUUUAAUCUUUUAUUUUGGGUCAUUAUAAGAUACCAGAGUCACGUAAAGCGUUCUGGAGGAUAGUUUCUUUGACAGCUGCAAAUACCAAUCGGAUCUGGA
rnacentral:sRNA from 1 species